CACGUAGUUAGCCGGGGCUUCUUGGUCAGGUACCGUCAUUUCUUUCUUCCCUGCUGAUAGAGCUUUACAUACCGAGAUACUUCUUCACUCACGCGGCGUCGCUGGAUCAGGGUUCCCCCCCAUUGUCCAAUAUUCCCCACUGCUGCCUCCCGUAGGAGUUUAGGCCGUGUCUCAGUCCCAAUGUGGCCGUCCACCCUCUCAGGCCGGCUACUGAUCGUCGCCUUGGUGGGCCGUUACCCCGCCAACAAGCUAAUCAGACGCGGGUCCAUCAUAUACCACCGGAGUUUUUCACACUGAGCCAUGCAGCUCCGUGCGCUUAUGCGGUAUUAGCACCUAUUUCUAAUGUUACUCCCCUGUACUAUGGCAGGUUACCACGCGUUACUCCACCCGUCCGCCCACUAACGCCGCCAACUAUUUCCCACUCUUAGCAAGCUAAUCGCUUACAAAAAUUGGUAGGUCCCCGUUCGCUUG
rnacentral:rRNA from 1 species